AAUAAAGUUUGAGUUGUGUCAGUUUUAAUGUUUGCCAUAUUCUUUUUUUCUAGAAUGUGUCACCAUAGUCUACAUUUGUGUUGUCAUAUAUUCUUAGAAAAAUAUGAUUCAUUUUCUUUGUGCUAUGUAGUAUGCUUUUGGUAUUUAUAUCAUUUAUAUGAUGUUAUAUUGAUGAGUUUAUAUCACAUUCUUCUUUAUAAUUUUCAUAUAUAGUCACAAGUCUAUAUAUACAUAAUUUCAACACAUAAUUAAGAAUCAUAUAUUAAGAAUCUUUUUUAUUAAAGAAUGACAUUUAGUAUCACUAAAAUUAUCUUACGUAUUUUUAAUACUUGUCUUUCUCUGUCUCUGAACAGACACAGCCUAAAUUCUUAAUAAAAACAAUGUAUUUAAGAAUACAUUGUAUUCAUUAGUAACUCUAAUAAUAAUUCAGUGGUGUUUAACAAAAUUCAGCACUCAAGAAAUUUCAUUAUAAUAUGUACACAAUGAAAGCCUAAUAAUCCCACAAUAAUUGCAACACGUCCAAGUGCCGAGAGGCACAGAUAAGUUCAAAGACUCACAGCUUUAAUGCCAGCAUACGCAACAUAAAUAUUUCAAUUAGAUACAUUAAAUAGCAGAUUUUUUUUUCAUUUUAUCUUUUACAUCAGCUGAUUUAAAAAUUCAGUAAUACUAAAUGUAAUAUAUGAGAACAUAAUUAUACUCACCUAAUGAGUCAUCAUUAUUUCACAUUAAAUAUUUAAAUGUUAAAAAAAAAAAAAAACUCCAUUUGUCAUCCAUGCAUGUUUUAAGAAGGAAUGGAAACAAAGGCAGUGCAAUUGCCUUUUUUUUUUAAUGGUCUAAAAAGUCCCUCUGUGGUUGGUGGUCAUCCCAGUUGAAACUGAAAAAGCAAACAGUUGUAUAGCAGCAUGCAGAAUCCAGGGUAACACAAAGCUGAAAUCACUUCAGGAUCAAUAACAGAUUUUAAAAAAUGACAUUGAUAAGAAGAAUCACAACAUGCUCAUCUAAACGUCCCAGAUAAUCAAAAGAGAGAAGCGUAGAGAAGUGUAGAAGAGGAAGAGAAAGCAGAAAGAAGAGAAAGAGGAAAAGAAAAAGAAAAAGAGAGAGAGAAAUGGAGAAAGAAAACAGUGAAAUGGAGAAAGAGGGAAGAGAGAGAGAGGGAGGGUUCGAGAGCGAGUGUGAGUGGUGGCUAAAUACGAGAGAGAAAAACUGAGAGAGUUGGCCCACAACGUGAGCUUGAUUAGAAAAAAAAUGCUUACUAAGCUAUCCAUUUCACACAUGCAGAGACAGAGGGUUCGAUAUUCAGCCGAUCGAUGAGGGAAAAGGCACAAAGGCAAAAUCGGAUGGAGCUCCUUUUCAAAUUCACAUCUCCGAUGUCCCCCCCAGCAGUCUGCGCUGGUGCGACGCACAGGGAGCAAGGGUUACCUCAAGGCUGUUCCGUGGACCAUGCAAACAAGUCUAGACCAGUGACCUGCUCAAUCGCUCCCUUUGAGGGCCAGGCAAGUUCGGUCAGGAAGAAGAAAGCAAGGCGUGCCCUCUUUUCAUUGAGGGAGCAAGGAGGCAGACGGCGGUGUUCAAGCGAAGCUCCUCAGACUGAGCACAUCUCUGCACAGAUGAGCUGAGAGGUCAAUGAGUUUCUGGGCUGCCACAGUGACUGCCAAGUACAACCAGACACACUCUAUUAGAUGCAUUAUAAAACUGUUGAAACUCUGUCUCUUUCUCUCGCUCUGCUUCUCUCUCACACAAAGAAUACAAAAGAAAUACACUCUUUUAUUACUUUCAAAAUGCUUUUGAGCAGACUUUGUUCAAUAAAGGAAUAAAAGGUGAAUAACUUUA